rnacentral:rRNA from 1 species
GAGUCGUCCUGCGCGGAAGAUGUAACGGGGCUAAGCCAGUUACCGAAGCUGCGGAUGCACAGUUUACUGUGCGUGGUAGGAGAGCGUUCUGUACGCCUGUGAAGGUGGGUCGUGAGGCCUGCUGGAGGUAUCAGAAGUGCGAAUGCUGACAUGAGUAGCGUUAAAGGGGGUCAAAAGCCCCCUCGCCGUAAGCGCAAGGUUUCCUACGCAACGUUCAUCGGCGUAGGGUGAGUCGGCCCCUAAGGCGAGGCAGAGAUGCGUAGCUGAUGGGAAACAGGUCAAUAUUCCUGUACCGCUCAAUAGUGCGAUGUGGGGACGGAGAAGGUUAGCUCAGCCAACUGUUGGAUAUGUUGGUUCAAGCCUGUAGUCGUGCCUGGUAGGCAAAUCCGCCGGGCUUAGAUGAGGGGUGAUAACGAGAGUGCUUGCACUUGAAGUGAGUGAUACCCUGCUUCCAGGAAAAGCCACUAAGCUUCAGCUAUUGACGACCGUACCGCAAACCGACACUGGUGCGCGAGAUGAGUAUUCUAAGGCGCUUGAGAGAACUCGGGAGAAGGAACUCGGCAAAUUGGUACCGUAACUUCGGGAUAAGGUACGCCUCGGUAGCUUGAAUGGUUUACUCCAUGAGGGCGAAAAGGUUGCAAUAAAAUGGUGGCUGCGACUGUUUAAUAAAAACACAGCACUCUGCAAACACGAAAGUGGACGU